GAAGAAUACAGAAUAGAUUGACUCAUUUUCCCUUUCUAUGUUUUGACCUUCUCUCCUUUAAGGGGCGUGGGACCCAUCAGGAGUCCUCCUUCUGCUGUGUGGAUGAGAACAUCGUCUGGUUUCUGCAAGCUCCAUGAGUCUGGAGACCCUUCUGUUUGAAGUCCAGAGGCUGGCACCCCUGCAGAACCUGUCCCCUGAUCCUCGUUCUCUCUUACUUUCAAAGCUAAUAUUGACAUGGAAAUGACAGAUCCGCUCCAUCUCAGCUUCUAUUGGGUUGGCAGCCACUGGACUCCGAGGGAGUUGGUGUUUUUCCACAGUCAACUGAGGACAGAACUCAGCCAAGCAAUUGAGUCUAUGACUCAGUCAGACAGAGGCACGGCUGACAAUAUAGGACUGCUUCACUGUCACCCAGUCACAGAUGGCCAGACUGAAGGAAAGGAGCAGCUAUGUUAUGAGGUGAGCAGAGACAAGUAAGCAUCCCAACACAUCCAUCCCAUGGUGCAUGUACACAUCUGGCACUGAUUCCCUACUUCCCUUUGAGGGAGGCGUGAGUGCAUGUGUGCGCAUGUGUGUGUGUGUGUGCACAUGUGCAUGCGUGUGUGAGUGUGCAAACAAGAGCAAUCUAAGCAUGUGAGAAGUUCCAGCAAGACAUGAGACGUGUAGGACAACUGGAACAUGGUGCAGUAUAGUACAAGGUAAGAGGAGACUGCUAAUAAAAGUGCUCUCCCAAGGCCA
rnacentral:lncRNA from 12 species